rnacentral:rRNA from 1 species
GAAAGGCCAAUCAAACCGGGAGAUAGCUGGUUCUCCCCGAAAGCUAUUUAGGUAGCGCCUCGUGAAUUCAUCUCCGGGGGUAGAGCACUGUUUCGGCAAGGGGGUCAUCCCGACUUACCAACCCGAUGCAAACUGCGAAUACCGGAGAAUGUUAUCACGGGAGACACACGGCGGGUGCUAACGUCCGUCGUGAAGAGGGAAACAACCCAGACCGCCAGCUAAGGUCCCAAAGUCAUGGUUAAGUGGGAAACGAUGUGGGAAGGCCCAGACAGCCAGGAUGUUGGCUUAGAAGCAGCCAUCAUUUAAAGAAAGCGUAAUAGCUCACUGGUCGAGUCGGCCUGCGCGGAAGAUGUAACGGGGCUAAACCAUGCACCGAAGCUGCGGCAGCGACGCUUAUGCGUUGUUGGGUAGGGGAGCGUUCUGUAAGCCUGUGAAGGUGUACUGUGAGGUAUGCUGGAGGUAUCAGAAGUGCGAAUGCUGACAUAAGUAACGAUAAAGCGGGUGAAAAGCCCGCUCGCC